ACGCCGCACCGGAGCUCCUCGACCAGCCCCACCUCAGGCCACUCCACCCACUGCUUCUCCCUCCGCCCGCGCCGCUCUCUUCCUCGCCGGCGCUGCCCACCACGAGCGGGGAGGCCCCAGAUCAUCUCGAGCAAGUCAGCGGGGCGGUGGCCAGAUCCGCCACGGCAACAUCUCGUCUAGAUGGGACGCGCCGGGAGAGGUAGAUCGAGGCGGCGGGCACCGUGUGCGUCUUGUCUCUUGGGACGCCACUCUGACCCGAUCCGGCGAGGAGGCAGCCUCCGUCUGCGGCAACGAGGGCGCCGGCCGGCUGCGCGAGAGGUCGAUCUGAUUGUGCCUCCAUGACGGCAUUGUGAUGCCCACCGCCGACGGCGCUGCGUCGCGACCAAAGGGGCACCCGGCCACGGCCGGGGACUCACUGCAGUUGAAGCACACCAUCUCGCCACCAUGUAUGUUGUGUGUUCUUGUGCUGCAGGUCCUUGGGGUUGGGUGUUCUUGUCGCCACCAUGUUCAUACAGGCACGAAUUGGACUGAGGAAUGCUAACAGAGGAGGAGAAGACCAUGCAAGUACGUAUGUGCCAAAAUUGAUAGAUUUAACUCUAGGUCCUUGGGGUUGGGUGCGGCAACUCGCGGCUCGAAGACAAUCUUUUGUGGUGGGGCGUCGCCGCCGGCGGCGGCACCUGCAUAGAUCGUCUCGCUGAGAACGAAGAGAUGCUCCUCUGAUUUGGAGCUGUAGAAAGGAGGUGGUUGCAGACACAAAGUGGGGACACACAACUCCCAGUCAUAAUAUUCUUUAUCUUGGCUCGUUGUUUGGGGAUGGACGCAUCAAUCUGAUCGCGCUCUCCUCCAUGCCAAACGGAUCCUUGGUUCGGAGGUGCGCGGCGCCGACGAUGACAACCUUUCUAUCGACGCAAGGGCAGCAGGAGCUCAUGACGCUGUUGAUGCCACCACCAUGCACGGGGUUGAUGCAAGGUGGGACAAGUAUGUAUACCAGGCAAAGUACUCAAUCUGUUUGGCAUUUAGCUUUUUGAUUCUGUUUUUAGUGAGCUUUUUGAUUCAGAUAAUUUGUUUACCUGAUGCCUUCACUCAAGGUAAUCUGUUUGUGUGACAUUUUGCUUUUUGAUUCUGUGCGAUCACUAAUGGGGAGAACAUAAAACUUCAAUUGAGGGCACUGUGAUUCUCUAGCUACAUGUAUCAUAGCUUCUGCAGGAGGGCGUCACCUGCGGCAUCACUUGCAUCGACCUCUCACCGAUCACCGUCCCGAGGAUGCACGACAGACUGGCGGAGCAGGGCACCAGUGAUUGUUUCACCAAUUUGCUCGACUCAUGGUUCCCUUCCUCUGUCCACGCAACGUUGCCCAUUGUUGCUAACUUGUUAAUUCAUCAGGCCCAUUAUUGCGGCUACAUAGUCUGUUAAUCUUGCCUGCCUUCUUAGGAGAAACCAAUUUACUAAGGGUUGGCAAUUCCGAAGUUAUUGCCUUUCUACUUCAAACUAAAAUAAUUCCUCUUUGUAUUUAAUAUGGAGAUGGGCACUGAACUUUAAAAAACAGUAUGAACUCAACCCCUUCUGUAAAUCAAAUAUUUCAUUUGCGGGGACGACGUGGGGCUCACGUCGAGCACUUCACCUGCAAUGGGUGUGGACUUCUCCGUCUGCCAAACAUGCUACAAGUACGAGCACCACGAGGGAACUGCCUGGAGUGCAAGACCCGCCACAAGCUCCUCAAGGGUCAGUCAGCCUCCACCCACGGCCGAAGGCACUUGCAGAUGUGAAGAAUAUCCAUGUCCGAUUACAUCGCCAGAAAGCAAAAACCAUGAGAGCCCACACUAAUCUUCAAGGGAAUUUUGAAACGAGCAGAAGAUUAGUAACUUCUACGACAUCAAAGAUCUGACCUUUUAGAGUAUGCACCAUAUUGAUUUACUUAUUGAUUUAUUCACACUAUAUCAGAUUUGUCUUGAACGUGAUACUUUAUUGACUGUACUGGACACGGGAAGUUAACUGUUUUAAUUAUAUAGGAUUAGUCUGCACCAAUUGCUGCA